CCUGGGUGACAAAGCUAGACUUCGUCUCAAAAAAGGAAAAUUAAAAACAUGUUUUCAAAAAAGCAAGAACACCGUAAUAUAAUUUUUGAAGGGAAACUUUUCCUUUUAGUGAUUUUCUUGACAAUCAGCUUCUCUGCAAGUGUGAGCCAGCCAGCAGCUGGGUUCUUGCUGCGUGGACUGUUGUUUUAGAAGGUGUGAACUGACUUCCCAUCCCAAACAUUGGACUGAAUGGAAUCAUCUCGGAUCUAAAUGUCUGAAGAGGCAGCCCUUCUCCUGACCUCUUUCAUUAUGGGGUGUUAACAACUUAGCAAUUUCGGUUCAAAGUACAGUUCCCAUACAGUUAGCUUCUGUUGUAAUUCUGUGAUUGGAAACAGGCAAAAUCUGAUGUGUCACCUCUGUCUGCUUAAAGACUGGAAGGAGAAGAAACAGUGACCAGUUAUGAUAGAGAAAUCAGUGGUAGCAUUGUUGAAAUAAUGGUGAAGAUCAAUAUGUCCCUCAUCUUCAAAUUGAGUCUUUCUCCUUUUAAAAAGCUUUCGUUGGAAUGGGUGUGGAAUGCUGGCUUUACUGGAGUUUGAUACCACCCUGGGCAACAAAACAAGACCCUGUUUCUACAAAAAAAAGUGAAAAUAAAAAAU